rnacentral:tRNA from 1 species
GCCUUCGUGGUGUAGUGAUCAGCACGCUCGACGCGUAACCGAGAGGUCCGUGGUUCAAUUCCCGGCGAAGGCG